UGGGGAAUUUUGGACAAUGGGCGAAAGCCUGAUCCAGCAAUGCCGCGUGUGUGAAGAAGGCCUUCGGGUUGUAAAGCACUUUUGUCCGGAAAGAAAUCCUUGGCUCUAAUACAGUCGGGGGAUGACGGUACCGGAAGAAUAAGCACCGGCUAACUACGUGCCAGCAGCCGCGGUAAUACGUAGGGUGCAAGCGUUAAUCGGAAUUACUGGGCGUAAAGCGUGCGCAGGCGGUUCGCUAAGACCGAUGUGAAAUCCCCGGGCUCAACCUGGGAACUGCAUUGGUGACUGGCAGGGCUAGAGUAUGGCAGAGGGGGGUAGAAUUCCACGUGUAGCAGUGAAAUGCGUAGAGAUGUGGAGGAAUACCGAUGGCGAAGGCAGCCCCCUGGGCCAAUACUGACGCUCAUGCACGAAAGCGUGGGGGAGCAAACAGGAUUAGAUACCCUGGUAGUCCACGCCCUAAACGAUGUCAACUAGUUGUUGGGGAUUCAUUUCCUUAGUAACGUAGCUAACGCGUGAAGUUGACCGCCUGGGGAGUACGGUCGCAAGACUAAAACUCAAAUGAAUUGACGGGGUCAUAGCUG
rnacentral:rRNA from 1 species